AUUAAUCUUAACCCUUAAUUAAAUGAUGAUUCACGGUCAAGAUUACACCCAAUUUCUAAUUAUUACCUUUUUAUUAAUUUACUGAAUAAUCAAAUUUAAUUGUAGCAAAUUCGUUGGGGGUUAUGAAUGGUAUUUCGCCUAUUUACUGAACAAACCUCCCGAAAUUAUAGAUGGCAAUUAAUGAUUUACCACCUACAGAAACCCUAAUCAGUACACCACGCUCACCACGUUCACUCUCCAUCUACCGCAGAGGCGACUCUCCAUCUACAGCGGCAGCGGCUGGUUUUCGACGGCGAUUUCGAUUUUUUCCGGUGGCGCUUACUGAAAAUCGUGAUCCAAUAUUCUCCGUGAAUGGAAUGGAAUGGACCAUGAGAGUGUCGCAUAUAUCUGUGACCUUGUUGUAGGACUUGAACGUGAGUGCUUCAUCCAGACAUGAGAAAUCCAUUGAUUGCUGCGCCGCUGCAGCAGGACUGGAAAUGCAACAUAUCUAGUAAACGAUCGCAACAAUUCUCAAGGAUGCUCAUACGGUAUUGUGCAUCCAUUUUGUCUUGGGAGGAAAAGGAGGUGAAAAAUGCUGUUGUGGACAAAUACUUUCGAAGAAAUGCAAGGAUCCAAAAUUCAAUGUAAAUUCGAUUCUACUGGGAUGAAAUUUGGGCACAGAGGAGUCCCAUAAAAAAAAUAUGUUUUUUAGAUGAUUGAAGUCAUUUGAAACAUAUGUUUUGGAUGAUACAAUAAAGUCUGGAUUUUGUGUCAAUUGAUUUUGUUUGACUUCAUUGGUUUGUGAUGUGAAAUUAUAGAAUUAUAAUUUCUCAGUAAAAUAUCUGCUAGUGGGACAUUGUUUU